rnacentral:ncRNA from 2 species
AGAGUUAAAUAGUACGUGAAAUUGUUGAAAGGGAAACGCUUGAAGUCAGUCGUGCUGGCGCGAAAUCAACCUGCCUGUUGAGUGAUCACCUGCCGUGGCGAGCCUCAAAACCGCCACGACUCGUGACCACUUAAUGGUCUGGUGCACUUUUGUGUCGGCUGGUUAACAUCAAUUUCGAUCAUCAUAAAAAGGCUGGAGGGAUGUGGCUCCUUCGAGAGUGUUAUAACCUUUGGCGGAAUGUGGUGUUUGGGAUUGAGGAUUGCAACGAAUACCUUUAGGGCUGUUCCACCUGGCCUCUCAUUGGUAUCCUGGUGGCGACAGCUUGCUGAUGUCGUUAGGAUUCGCCUUUGAACAGGCUAGAGUGUGAGCAAAUUCGUUAAGGAUGUUAACGUAAUGGCUUUAAACGACC